CGAGGAUAUCGGAGAUGCUUUUAAAGAGUUUACUUUCUAUGGGAAGUCUUUUGAUGGGAUUGUGUGCUGAUAAUCUGUGAACACCUCUUUGGACACUUUUUACUCGGUAGGAUGUUAGGAAUGGAGUUUUGUUGGGAUAGCUGGUCAACAUGUAGUGUUGUAUGCCCGUUAAGUAGAGUUUGAUUGUUUUGUAGGCUAAAUUAAGAGAAAUAUGG